UCUGGGCUGCUGCCUCCCUGCAGGGCAGACUCUGGAUGUCACAGAGGCGGCCACUCCACCCAGCGGGGCAAAGGCAGUAGAAAGAGGCUCCAGUCCGGGUACAGCGACCCCCAUUCUGGCAGGGCGAACAGCUACACCAGUCUAUCAGCGUCUGGAGGCCCCACCAGGCAUCAGAGUCCAGAGGUAGGUGUCAAGUCAAGGACCCCACCAUCCACUUCUUCUCAAGUAUGAUGCCCCAUCUGAUGGCAGAGCCCCCAAAUCCCAAGAAGAGGUCCCACCCACCUGGAGCUGCAGUCAGGAAACCUCACCUACAUGGAAGGGGGAGAAGGGAGAGAACCAAAAGUUCCCUUUGAGCUUCCAAACACCUGCUGCUGGUUGUGUCUGCUCUAAUCCUGGGCUGGCACGAGAGGCCUCCCCAGACCUUCACUGGCCAGGACAGUGGCCACUGACAUGUGGAUCUAAAGUCCUUGAAAUGUGGUUCGUCUAAAUUGAGGAGUGGUGUAAGU